UCAGCUUUGGAGCAGUAGGUAGCCUGUUAGUCUUGUAAGCUGAAGGUCCUGAGUUCGAUCCUCGGAAGGAGGA
rnacentral:tRNA from 1 species